UACAGAGGUCUCAAGCGUUGUUCGGAUUCAUUGGGCGUAAAGGGUGCGUAGGUGGCGCUGUAAGUCGGGUGUGAAAUUUCGGAGCUUAACUCCGAAACUGCAUUCGAUACUGCGGUGCUUGAGGACUGGAGAGGAGACUGGAAUUCAUGGUGUAGCAGUGAAAUGCGUAGAUAUCUGGAGGAACACCGGUGGCGAAGGCGGCAUCCUGGACCGGCACUGACACUGAGGAGCGAAAGCCAGGGGAGCAAACGGG
rnacentral:rRNA from 1 species